GACGAACGCUGGCGGCGUGCCUAAUACAUGCAAGUCGAACGCAGUGGGGACGGGUGAGUAACACGUGGGUAACCUCCCAUCAGAGGGGAUAACACUUGGAAAAAGGUGCUAACACGAUACUGAUGGAUGGACCCGCGGUGCAUUAGCUAGUUGGUGAGGUAACGGGUCACCAAGGACACGAUGCAUAGCCGAACUGAGAGGGUGAUCGGACACACUGGGACGUAUACACGGCCAGGAAUCGUACGGGAGGCAGCAGUAGGGAAUCUGCGGCAAUGGACGAAAGUCUGACCGAGCAACGCCGCGUUAGUGAAGAAGGUUUUCGGAUCGUAAAACUCUGUUGUUAGAGAAGCGGUAUCUAACCAGAAAGCCACGGCUAACUACGUGCCAGCAGCCGCGGUAAUUC
rnacentral:rRNA from 1 species